UCCUGGCUGGCUCAGUCAGUGGGUAGAGCAUGUGACUCUUGAUUUCGGGGUCUUGAGUUCAAGUCCCAAGCUGGGUG
rnacentral:tRNA from 1 species